rnacentral:rRNA from 1 species
CCUACGGGUGGCAGCAGUCGAGAAUCAUUCACAAUGGGGGAAACCCUGAUGGUGCGACGCCGCGUGGGGGAAUGAAGUUCUUCGGAUUGUAAACCCCUGUCAUGUGGGAGCAAAUUAAAAAGAUAGUACCCCAAGAGGAAGAGACGGCUAACUCUGUGCCAGCAGCCGCGGUAAUACAGAGGUCUCAAGCGUUGUUCGGAAUCACUGGGCGUAAAGCGUGCGUAGGCUGUUUCGUAAGUCGUGUGUGAAAGGCGCGGGCUCAACCCGCGGACGGCACAUGAUACUGCGAGACUAGAGUAAUGGAGGGGGAACCGGAAUUCUCGGUGUAGCAGUGAAAUGCGUAGAUAUCGAGAGGAACACUCGUGGCGAAGGCGGGUUCCUGGACAGUAACUGACGCUGAGGCACGAAGGCCAGGGGAGCGAAAGGGAUUAGAUACCCGAGUAGUC